rnacentral:lncRNA from 1 species
GCGAUGCCAACCAAGGCUGUGCGCCCGCCCCGGGCAUUACAGGACGCAGGACCCCCUCCUCCAGAGGUCCUCAGCAAAGCACCCCCGCAUAGAUCAAUUCAUUCAUUCAACAAAUGAAUAUUUGAUGGAAGAGGCUCCAGAUGGAGGGAAGAGCCAGUGCAAUGCCUCAAAAUGGAGACAUGGUGUAUUAAUGGAGAAGCAGCAGGACUUGUGAAAGCCUGGGACGAGGGCUUGGGGUUUUAUUCUCAAUAUGAUAGAAAAUGAUUCAAGGCUGAGAGCAGGAGAGUGGCAGGAUAUACUGACUUAUUUAAAUCUCACUGUCUCCCACAAAGAACAAGUUUUAUCUCUCCUCAUGCUCCUGAGAGAAGAAUGUACUGCUUAUCUACCAUCAUUUCUGCAUCCAUCGAAACAUCUGGGUUUACCUGAAAAGAAAUUAUA